ACAGGUCUGUGAUGCCCUUAGAUGUUCUGGGCCGCACGCGCGCUACACUGACGGAGCCAGCGAGUACUGGCGCAAGCCUUCCUUGGCCGAAAGGUCCGGGUAAUCUUGGGAAACUCCGUCGUGCUGGGGAUAGUCCUUUGCAAUUAUCGGACUUGAACGAGGAAUUCCUAGUAAGCGCGGUUCAUCAGAUCGCGUUGAUUACGUCCCUGCCCUUUGUACACACCGCCCGUCGCUACUACCGAUUGAAUGGCUUAGUGAGGCCCUCGGAUUGGCGUAUUNCUGCCGGCAACGGCUGGUUAUAUGCCGAGAAGUUGGUCAAACUUGGUCAUUUAGAGGAAGUAAAAGUCGUAACAAGGUAUCCGUAGGUGAACCUGCGGAUGGAUCAUUAACGU
rnacentral:rRNA from 1 species